CCCGGCCAGGGUCGCGCCUGGCUGUAGCCCGAGCGGGGGGAGUGUGUCUGGACUGUGCGGGCGAGGCCGAGGGCCCAUCUUUACCAAUGCCGAUCCUGCGCCGACUUCAAGGUGGCGGUCGCCAUUGCUCACCGGGCGGAAGCUUGGUGGACUUGGGUGAUGAUGCGAGGCGGAACGCCACAGGCUGGAAACAGAGCAAGGAAAAGUCUCCGCCGUCAUCAGUGAAGCGAUCACGUGGGUGAAUUGGGGGGCGGAUCACCCGGAGCCCUGCUAGGAUGGGACAGGCACGCGC
rfam:Guillardia theta CCMP2712 unplaced genomic scaffold GTITHscaffold_44, whole genome shotgun sequence.